GACGAACGCUGGCGGCGUGCUUAACACAUGCAAGUCGAACGGUAAGGCCCUUCGGGGUACACGAGUGGCGAACGGGUGAGUAACACGUGGGUGAUCUGCCCUGCACUUUGGGAUAAGCCUGGGAAACUGGGUCUAAUACCGAAUAUACCCUGCUGGUCGCAUGGCCUGGUGGGGGAAAGCUUUUGCGGUGUGGGAUGGGCCCGCGGCCUAUCAGCUUGUUGGUGGGGUGAUGGCCUACCAAGGCGACGACGGGUAGCCGGCCUGAGAGGGUGACCGGCCACACUGGGACUGAGAUACGGCCCAGACUCCUACGAGAGGCAGCAGUGGGGAAUAUUGCACAAUGGGCGCAAGCCUGAUGCAGCGACGCCGCGUGAGGGAUGACGGCCUUCGGGUUGUAAACCUCUUUCAAUAGGGACGAAGCGCAAGUGACGGUGCCUAUAGAAGAAGGGCCGGCCAACUACGUGCCAGCCGCCGCUGUAA
rnacentral:rRNA from 1 species